UAAACUUAAAACUCUUAAUAAUUUAUGAAUAAUUUUAGAAAUAGAAUAAAGCGUUGUUUGAAUGAAAAUAAUACAUCAAAGUUCCCAAAUAAGGUAUUUAUGAAAUAAAAGAAGUUGAAAAUAAAACUAGAUGAAUUUCCCUCAUGUUACUAGUAUCAGAAGAGACGUCUACAUGCCAACCUCAAGUACAAGGAUUUCACCGCGAAAUUUAAGGUUCAACCCUCUACCUGAAAAUCAACGAUUACACAUCGUAGUACCAAACCAACAAAUAAAACGUAACAGGGUAAGCACUAAUAUUCAAUAACUGAGAUGAAUGUAAGUAAAGUAACUAAAUAAAUAAAUACAUAAUGAUUGGUAAAAUGCUAAUAAAAAUGAAUCACAUAAAACAGUACAAAAAGCACGAAUAACAAAGUAACUAAAUUUCAAAAUCAAAUCAAAUCAAAAUCAAAAUUGUCAAAGCUCGGAAAUUCUCAAAUCCAAAGUUUCAAAAACCAAAAGGUUGCAAACACAGUAUAAUAAACAUAUAAAAAUAGAGAAGACCAGAAUUAUUAGUUAAGUUUGUAUUUACAUAUAUAUGAGUUUUGUUUUAUUAAAAUACAAUCUUUUCACUCAAACACCCUCAUCACCAAUUAAUCCUAACUCUCAAGUUGUUAAUUGCUCAAAUUAAUUCUACUAAACUAUUUUCUAAUAAGACUAUCACAAACACAUUUUCUAUCAAGUCUAUAGCAUGUACUGCAACUUCAUUUAAACUAUCACCACAUUCAAAAAGCACAUGAUAGGCCAUCUCUAUGACAGCAACUAGUUAUUAUGUACAUUAGAUGACCAACUCCCCUUCUCAAAAGUAACCCAUUUAGGACACCGCUCAAGGAUUAAACAGACAUUCACGCCACCAGUAAUGUAAUAAAUAACAAUACCUUUUUAUUAUUUUCUUUAUGUCUUAUAGUUAGUUUGUAUCUCUUAUAAGUCUAUGACCUACCUAAUUGUACCUGAAUAUAAGCUCUUACUCAUCAAUGACUUACUAGUUAAUCAAAUAAGUGUACUUUCUAAUAUAUCUUUUGUUAAUCAUGUAUUUCCCUCCUAUACUAAAUAGGGGACAAGCAAACCUCAGCUAUAUCAAUUAAAAAUGUGAGAUUAAAGCUUCAAUUUUAAGUUCCAAACAAUCCCAAAACAGUCCCAAAUAAUUUAUGGUUUUAAUCUAUGAAUUAGAAACUCUGAUUUUCUUUCCAAUUUUCAAUUGAAAAUAUACACGCUCAAAACAUGAAUGAAUGCAUAAACCAAUAUCUCAAAGCAAAGUUGCAGAAUGUAAAUGCACAAAUUAUAGCAGAUCAAGGCAAAACGAAAUUGCACUUCAAAGUACAAAAUCACCGAUCAGAAAGAAUCACAAACAAAAAUCAAAAGGAAGAAUUAAAGAAAGCAUAAAACCUAUUCUAAUUCACCCAAUUAUUAAACAUAAGUCUUCCCCUAACCUUAAGUUUUGAUGAAUUCUUUCUUUGAUCCUAGCUGCUGAAAUCAUUUCUUCUCCUUCUUUCCCUUCUCUUCUCCUCCCAGGUAUUUUUUUUCUCUCUAUUCUCACAGUGUAUAAUUUUUGUUUUUUUUGUUGAAUGUGUAGACACCUCUCUUGCCUUGCUUUUUUUAAAAAUAACUCCAAGAGACAAUGUUUAUUAUUACUAUUAAAAUCUAAUAAUGGAAAUUAAAACUAUCUUUAUUCCUUUCAAUGGAAAUUAAAACUAUGUUUAUUUCUUUCUAACUUCAAACUACUUAUUCUCUUC
rnacentral:lncRNA from 1 species